rnacentral:rRNA from 1 species
UAUUGGUCAAUGGCCGCAGGGCUGAACCAGCCAAGUCGCGUGAGGGAUGACGGUCCUAUGGGUUGUAAACCUCUUUUGUCAGGGAGCAAAGGGCGCCACGUGUGGCGUUUUGCGAGUACCUGAAGAAAAAGCAUCAGCUAACUCCCUGCCAGCAGCCGCGGUAAUACGGAGGCUGCGAGCGUUAUCCGGAUUUAUUGGGUUUAAAGGGUGCGUAGGCGGGCUUUUAAGUCAGCGGUAAAAAUUCGGGGCUCAACCCCGUCCGGCCGUUGAAACUGGGGGCCUUGAGUGGGCGAGAAGAAGGCGGAAUGCGUGGUGUAGCGGUGAAAUGCAUAGAUAUCACGCAGAACCCCGAUUGCGAAGGCAGCCUUCCGGCGCCCUACUGACGCUGAGGCACGAAAGUGCGGGGAUCG